UGCAUGAACUUACCCACCCACGCCAUCUGUUUCCUUUCCACGCCAUUGUAACAUUUUCUUGUUACAAUGCUUUAUGGGAAUAAAAUUGUCAGACAUCAUAUUGGUUCUGGUUUUACCAAAGAUGUAUGCUUUAUGAGCAGGAGGACUUUAUGACUCGACAAGUUCCUCUGCAUCAUACGGGUGUGGCAACUCCCCACUUGGUGAGGAUCUUAUUGUUGAGUAGUCAACGACGUCACCUGCAUCAACCCCUCCCUGGUUGCCAUCCAUGCGCGACCAACCGUCCAACUUAUUUUCACGUGGGAGUACAUUAUAUCGACGCCCUUUUAAUUUACAAGGAAUGGCUGAGAAGCACGGAUUUAUUUUCAUGGGCACAAAAAUAAUAAUCAAGACCUUAGCAGACUGGUUGUACCUUGAUGAGAGUGUGCUUUCAGGUCAUAUUCUCACUUUUACCAGCCUUCACCCAUCACUGUCUCUCACAAUUUGCUCCAGAUUGUUCAUACGCAUUUCAUCGAUUGAUAGCACCAGCAAAACAGAGCACGGCUAUUGCUACUUGUCUCUGUAUAUCCUAGAUACAGGGUUAUAGGUCACAUUCAAAAUAGCAAGCACCCUGGUAACAGGCAUAAUCAACCAGAAAGACCGUCUAGGAUAUUUGCUUCCUGUCUCGGUGAUCCACGUACUCCACCUUCGAGGAAAGAGAGGAGGAAGAUGCAUUGGCCUUAAAAUCACAUUUCAGAUGAAAGAAUAUAGCACAUGGCAACAAUGUUGCGCCGCGGUGUAGCUUUACUGUGUGGCUACCUCUCCACUCUCACACAUGCAUUAGUUCGACGAAAGUGUUGGGCAAAGUCUAAGUCUUGGAUAAACAGUAGUCUCAGUAAAACUGGGCUGGUGUUAUGCAUACAAAAAGAAUGUCGUGUGAUUACUCUCAGGAUGAGGGUGAUGAUGCAGAGUGUCGUUCCACUUCAGCAAUGCAAAGAGAUCGAACACAGGACACUGAGUGUGUGUCUGAAUAAAGACUGAAAAUGUCUGUCAAAACAUGACAGCGGAAAUUAUGGCCAGUAUUCCACCAAGCUGCAAGCAGACAUGCGCGGACUGAAAUUUCCAGUCUAAUCUCUUGGUAGCAGAGAACAGACAACCAUAGAGCCUGAUGUGUGAGGCAAUGUGGUAGAAGAUUUACCUCUACAUUUCCUAGCCUAGCUAGGUGCUUAAGACAGAAACGGUUCAGAAAAUUCAGUCAACCGGAUUGUUGUACGUCUGAUUUCCUACCCAGGAGAGCCGCUUCCUUGCCGUUGCCGUCACCAGCAUUGUAUCCUAUGGGGCCUUCCAUUAAUUUGAAGUAAAAAAUGGAGCUACCAACGCUUGAUCGGGACCACGCCCAAGACAACGGGUCCAAUGUUUGGAAAGGAUCGCGAAAGUGACAUGUGUCAUGGUGAGGCCAGUUUCCAUUCUGCAUGUUGCCUUAUUUUCUUCUAUAUCAGCAAUUUGCGAGGUAAUUUUAAAUCAUUUUGUAUGCUCAUCGAUGUUGAUCUAUGGCAAGAGUCUGGUUCAUCACAACAUCGGUGUUGUUUGGUUCUUCUUUUCUCCAAGCAUGGUUCUGGCUCGGCAGUGCACCAUAACUAGAGUUUUCACACCUGACAGUCACGCCCACCUAAAAUGGGCAUCCUUUGUCAUUGUUGCAUUCCUCUCACGUAUUCUUAAUCAUGAAGCUUCUCGUAGGAACAAAAAAAUUAAACAAACAAGUAUGAAUGGAUAGAGAAAGUUUGUUGUCUGUCAAGUACCUCGGCAGUCAGGUAGGAGUACUUAUGCAGGAGUGACCGUUUCGAGCAAACGGGUGGCGGAAGAUACUGACCCUUCUUGUGGUCUGUGUCUCGAUCACGCAAGGAGCAAAGGUUAGCUCUUGUGGAUCAUCACUCGACCUGAGCAGGAGUAGGAUGUUCACACUCCACUCCACGGUCGCAUGAAGAAAUCUUAUGCCAAUUCCAGUUUGCCUUGCCUUGCCCAUGUGACCAACCGUUGGUCUCGUCUCGAUCGACCACACUCCAUAGUCGCAUUUCGAUCGAAGUUUCUCCUUUUAGCAUUAUGGCUAUGGAGAUAAAGAACAAUGGGAACGAAUGGUGUGACAUCAGUGAUGAUGUUGCUGAAGGAGAGGGUAAACAGACAUGAUGUGUUUCUGACUAAUGGGCUGCAGGGUUGGCACAAGGAAACUAUUGUUAUGCCUUGUGAGGUCCGACGACGGUGACCGGAUGACUGAGCAAAGCUGUGAAAAAAUCGGAAACAUAAAACAGUGACCUACAAUAUAAUGCAUCAGCGGAAGAGGAGGAGGCAGCAUAUGAAGCUGAGAGAGGUGACGGGGAGCACGAGAAACUGCUCCCGCUGCAAGAGAGGGAGCCAUGCCAAUAGUCAGUUGUGGGCUUGUGGCGCUGGUCGCGACCGCCGCAUCACCAACCAUGAUCGUCCAGGCUGUGGCAUGGGGGUCGUGCUUGCUGCUUGCGCGGCGAUCCCCCAUCGUGAUGAUAAGGCGACUCCCCAACCCUGAUGAUAAGGCUUCAUCCAUUCAAUUUUGACACUGUAGACAACUAGCUUUUGGUAAGUGCAGCAUGCUCAAGUUUACUUUGUAGCUAUUUUCAUGUUCUGCAUUUCAAUGGUACAAGAUUGUGUCGCUCAAUCUUGGCCUAGAGGUGCUCCCAUUUUAGGUCAAACACAGUCUAUUAUGAAACCAUUGCAUAUUUUGCUGAAAUGCUUCAAGGUGGUUUUACUAUGACAGUAUGACCAUGCUUGUAAUGCCAGCUUGGCUUGAGAGGUCGGCUAAUUCAGUAGGCUUAUUCAAUGGCGAAUAGGUCCAUGUAUUAGAUAGGAUCAACAAGAGUUGGCUGGCAGCUGCUAUGUAUAUGUUAUGGAUCAGAGGCAAUUAAUCUGUCUUUGCCCCCCUUUUUUUAAUUCAAGCCCUUAAGAUUAUGCUCUUAAAUGCA